rnacentral:rRNA from 1 species
UACGAAGGGGGCUAGCGUUGCUCGGAAUUACUGGGCGUAAAGGGCGCGUAGGCGGAUGGCACAGUCAGCUGUGAAAUUCCCGGGCUUAACCUGGGGGCUGCAUUUGAUACGUGUUGUCUUGAGUUCGGAAGAGGGUCGUGGAAUUCCCAGUGUAGAGGUGAAAUUCGUAGAUAUUGGGAAGAACACCGGUGGCGAAGGCGGCGACCUGGUCCGACACUGACGCUGAGGCGCGAAAGCGUGGGGAGCAAACAGG